AUUUCUGUAGUGUAAUGGUCAUCACGUUCGCCUUACGCGCGAAAGGUCCCCAGCUCGAAACUGGGCAGAAACU